rnacentral:tRNA from 10 species
GGGCGAUUGGCUCAGGGGUAGAGCACUUCCUUCACACGGAAGGGGUCGCUGGUUCAAAUCCAGCAUCGCCCACCA